rnacentral:rRNA from 1 species
AUACGUAGGGGGCAAGCGUUAUCCGGAACUACUGGGUGUAAAGGGAGCGCAGACGGCUAAGCAAGUCUGAUGUGAAAGUCAUGGGCUCAACCCAUGGAUUGCAUUGGAAACUGCGAAGCUGGAGUGUCGGAGGGGUAAGCGGAAUUCCUGGUGUAGCGGUGAAAUGCGUAGAUAUCAGGAGGAACACCGGUGGCGAAGGCGGCUUACUGGACGAUCACUGACGUUGAGGCUCGAAAGCGUGGGGAGCAAACAGGAUUAGAUACCCUGGUAGUCCACGCGGUAAACGAUGAAUACUAGGUGUCGGGGGGCGAAGCUCUUCGGUGCCGAAAGCAAACGCAGUAAGUAUUCCACCUGGGGAGUACGUUCGCAAGAAUGAAACUCAAAUGAAUUGACGGGG